GUGCAUGCAUAGAGAACUCCGCA
rnacentral:piRNA from 1 species